GGGCAUAUAGUGAAGGGGUUACCACGUUCGCUUUGCAUUCCUUUCGUCGGGCGGGUGGCCUCCGGUUCAAGUCCGGGUUUGUCUA